AGUCAUAUGCUUGUCUCAAAGAUUAAGCCAUGCAUGUCUAAGUAUAAGCAAUUAUACCGCGAAACUGCGAAUGGCUCAUUAUAUAAGUUAUCGUUUAUUUGAUAAUACUUUACUACUUGGAUAACCGUGGUAAUUCUAGAGCUAAUACAUGCUAAAAAUCCCGACUUCGGAAGGGUUGUAUUUAUUAGAUUAAAAACCAAUGCCCCUCGGGGCUCUCUGGUGAAUCAUGAUAACUAGUCGAAUCGACAGGCCUUGUGCCGGCGAUGGCUCAUUCAAAUUUCUUCCCUAUCAACUUUCGAUGUUUGGGUAUUGGCCAAACAUGGUGGCAACGGGUAACGGAGGGUUAGGGCUCGACCCCGGAGAAGGAGCCUGAGAAACGGCUACUACAUCCAAGGAAGGCAGCAGGCGCGCAAAUUACCCAAUCCCGACACGGGGAGGUAGUGACAAUAAAUACUGAUACAGGGCUCUUUUGGGUCUUGUAAUCGGAAUGAGUACAAUUUAAAUCCCUUAACGAGGAACAAUUGGAGGGCAAGUCUGGUGCCAGCAGCCGCGGUAAUUCCAGCUCCAAUAGCGUAUAUUAAAGUUGUUGUGGUUAAAAAGCUCGUAGUUGAACCUUGGGCCUGGCUGGCCGGUCCGCCUCACCGCGUGCACUGGUCCGGCCGGGCCUUUCCCUCUGCGGAACCCCAUGCCCUUCACUGGGUGUGGCGGGGAAACAGGACUUUUACUUUGAAAAAAUUAGAGUGCUCAAGGCAGGCCUAUGCUCGAAUACAUUAGCAUGGAAUAAUAGAAUAGGACGUGUGGUUCUAUUUUGUUGGUUUCUAGGACCGCCGUAAUGAUUAAUAGGGACAGUCGGGGGCAUCAGUAUUCAAUUGUCAGAGGUGAAAUUCUUGGAUUUAUUGAAGACUAACUACUGCGAAAGCAUUUGCCAAGGAUGUUUUCAUUAAUCAGGAACGAAAGUUAGGGGAUCGAAGACGAUCAGAUACCGUCGUAGUCUUAACCAUAAACUAUGCCGACUAGGGAUCGGACGAUGUUACAUUUUUGACGCGUUCGGCACCUUACGAGAAAUCAAAGUGCUUGGGCUCCAGGGGGAGUAUGGUCGCAAGGCUGAAA
rnacentral:rRNA from 1 species